UUCGAGCGUCAGUACAACACUCAAGCUCUGCUUGGUAUUGGAUCGCAUCAGUUCUGAUCGGUCUUAAAAUCAGUGGCGGUGCAUCGUGCUCUAAGCGUAGUAAAUACUCCUCGCUACAGGGUCUCGGUGCGUGCUUGCCAGCAACCCCCAACUUUCUAAGUUUUGACCUCGGAUCAGGUAGGGAUACCCGCUGAACUUAA
rnacentral:misc_RNA from 1 species